UAACAAGGAUUCCCCUAGUAACUGCGAGUGAAGCGGGAAAAGCUCAAAUUUAAAAUCUGGCGGUUGCACCGUCCGAGUUGUAAUCUGGAGAAGCGUUUUCCGUGCUGGACCGUGUACAAGUCCCUUGGAACGGGGCGUCAUAGAGGGUGAGAAUCCCGUCCAUGACACGGACUGCCAGUGCUUUGUGAUACGCUCUCGAAGAGUCGAGUUGUUUGGGAAUGCAGCUCAAAAUGGGUGGUAAAUUCCAUCUAAAGCUAAAUAUUGGCGAGAGACCGAUAGCGAACAAGUACCGUGAGGGAAAGAUGAAAAGCACUUUGGAAAGAGAGUUAAACAGUACGUGAAAUUGUUGAAAGGGAAACGCUUGGAGUCAGUCGCGUCUGUCGAGACUCAGCCUUGCCUUCGGGCUUGGUGUACUUCUCGGCCUGACGGGCCAACAUCGAUUUCGAACGGCGGAUAAAGGUCUGGGGAAGGUGGCACCUUCGGGUGUGUUAUAGCCCCUCUCCGUAUACGUCGUCUGGGAUCGAGGACCGCAGCACGCCCUUGUGGCUGGGGCCCUUUGCCCACAUAACGUGCUUAGGAUGUUGGCGUAAUGGCUUUAAGCGAC
rnacentral:rRNA from 1 species